rnacentral:antisense_RNA from 1 species
CCUUCAGCUUCCACCCGCUCUGGGGAAUAGGAGACACAGAAGAUGGAGGGAGGGAUGGCAGCCUACCCUGUGGCAACGCGGGAGUCGCGUUGCCGCAGGGGGCGCAUUGGGGUCCAGCCGUCCCCGGAACGCAGAUCAGAGGUAGUCGGACCUUUCUCGCUGGCGCGCGGCCUCAGCCAG